CCUACACCUGUAACUUUGGAAAAGGGUCUGGGAUGGAAAUAUAACAUGGAGUUGUCAUUGCUCUCUCAGCAACCGAACUCACUGAUGUGAAUGAGAUCGCCAGGGAGAACAAGAAGAAAACCUCAGACUAACCAGGAGAUGUGACUCAGGAGAAGAUGAGCUAAAACUUAGCUCUCUGGACCAGAUCUUUUGCUCGUGUCUUAUAUUUUCCCUUAAAAAACUGUGUGUGCGUGUGUUUGGGCUUUGGGUGCAUUUCAUGGGAGAAAAAUCUCUCUUGCAUAUUCUGUAGUUUACAACAAAAAUUGAAAAACAAAUAAAGCAUGCGAAAAUGUUCUUAGACAUAGAUA